UACGGAGGGUCCAAGCGUUAUCCGGAAUCAUUGGGUUUAAAGGGUCCGUAGGCGGUUUAAUAAGUCAGUGGUGAAAGCCCAUCGCUCAACGAUGGAACGGCCAUUGAUACUGUUAGACUUGAAUUAGUGGGAAGUAACUAGAAUAUGUAGUGUAGCGGUGAAAUGCUUAGAUAUUACAUGGAAUACCAAUUGCGAAGGCAGGUUACUAUCACUAUAUUGACGCUGAUGGACGAAAGCGUGGGGAGCGAACAGG
rnacentral:rRNA from 1 species